AGGACUAACGCUGGCGGCGUGCCUAACACAUGCAAGUCGAACGAGGUAGCAAUACCUAGUGGCAGACGGGUGAGUAACGCGUGGUCAACCUACCUCUUAGUGGGGGAUAACUAGCCGAAAGGUUAGCUAAUACCGCAUACGAUCGUCGCGAGGCAUCUCGUGACGAUGAAAGGAGCAAUUCGCUAAAAGAGGGGACUGCGUCCCAUUAGUUAGUUGGUGGGGUAAUGGCCCACCAAGACUCCGAUGGGUAGCUGGCUUGAGAGAGCGACCAGCCACACUGGAACUGAGACACGGUCCAGACUCCUACGGGAGGCAGCAGUGAGGAAUUUUCCGGCAAUGGGCGCAAGCCUGACGGAGCGACGCCGCGUGUGGGAAGAAGGCCUUCGGGUCGUAAACCACUGUCGAAGGGGACGAUAUUGACGGUACCCUUGGAGGAAGCCCGGCUAACUACGCGCCAGCAGCCGC
rnacentral:rRNA from 1 species